UACGUAGGGUGCGAGCGUUGUCCGGAAUUACUGGGCGUAAAGAGCUCGUAGGUGGUUUGUCGCGUUGUCCGUGAAAACUCACAACUCAAUUGUGGGCGUGCGGGCGAUACGGGCAGACUGGAGUACUGCAGGGGAGACUGGAAUUCCUGAUGUAGCGGUGGAAUGCGCAGAUAUCAGGAGGAACACCGGUGGCGAAGGCGGGUCUCUGGGCAGUAACUGACGCUGAGGAGCGAAAGCGUGGGGAGCGAACAGG
rnacentral:rRNA from 1 species